rnacentral:pre_miRNA from 1 species
AGUGGAAUGGCUGGGUUAUAUGGUAGAUGUAUGUUUAACUUUUUAAGAAACUGCCAAAUUGUUUUUCAAAGUUGUACUAUUUCACAUUCCCACUGGCCGU